ACUCAAAUGAAUUGACGGGGGCCCGCACAAGCAGCGGAGCGUGUGGUUUAAUUCGAUGCAACGCGCAGAACCUUACCAGGGCUUGACAUCUGCUGUUCAGUCGGUGAAAGCCGAUGGCCGCAAGGCGAAGCGGACAGAUGCUGCAUGGUUGUCGUCAGCUCGUGUCGUGAGAUGUUGGGUUAAGUCCCGCAACGAGCGCAACCCUCGGCGUGUGUUACAAGUGUCACACGCAACUGCCGGUCGCAAACCGGAGGAAGGUGGGGAUGACGUCAAAUCAGCAUGGCUCUUACGUCCUGGGCGACACACACGCUACAAUGGUGAGGACAAUGUGACGCAAGACCGCGAGGUGGAGCGGAUCAGCAAACCUCAUCUCAGUUCGGAUUGCAGGCUGCAACUCGCCUGCAUGAAGUCGGAGUUGCUAGUAACCGCGCAUCAGCACGGUGCGGUGAAUAUGUACCCGGGCCUUGUACACACCGCCCGU
rnacentral:rRNA from 1 species